rnacentral:rRNA from 1 species
GAGUUUGAUCGUGGCUCAGAUUGAACGCUGGCGGCAUGCCUUACACAUGCAAGUCGAACGGCAGCACGGGAGCUUGCUCCUGGUGGCGAGUGGCGAACGGGUGAGUAAUGCAUCGGAACGUAUCCUGGAGUGGGGGAUAACGUAGCGAAAGUUACGCUAAUACCGCAUAUUCUGUGAGCAGGAAAGCGGGGGACCUUCGGGCCUCGCGCUCUUGGAGCGGCCGAUGUCGGAUUAGCUAGUUGGUGAGGUAAAGGCUCACCAAGGCGACGAUCCGUAGCAGGUCUGAGAGGAUGAUCUGCCACACUGGAACUGAGACACGGUCCAGACUCCUACGGGAGGCAGCAGUGGGAAUUUUGGACAAUGGGGGCAACCCUGAUCCAGCCAUGCCGCGUGAGUGAAGAAGGCCUCGGUUCGUAAGUACGUACUUCGUCG